UGCUCAGCACUAGCCCCAUAAACAAACAAAACAACCUCAACUCUAAACUAAACCAUUUUAACAGAUGAGUAUAGGCGAUAGAAAGUCCACACCGGCGCAAUAGCGACAGUACCAUAAGGGAAACCUGAAAGAACACUUUUAAAAUUAAGCAAAAAAAAGCAGGGAUUGCCCCCCGUACCUCCUGCAUCAUGGUUUAGCAAGCAACCCCAGAUUAAGAGUACUUAAAUCUGCCACCCCGAAUCCAGUCGAUCUACUUCAAGACAGUCAGGAACCCUGACUAACCCGUCUCUGUGGCAAAAGGGUGGGAAGAUCCUGAAGUAGCGGUAAAAAGCCAAUCGAGUCUGGCGAUAGCUGGUUGCUCAAUAAACGGAUUUUAGUCCAACUCUAGUCUUAACCCCAACCACCCAACCACUUGGCCAAACGUUUUAACUAGAAGCCCUACAACAGAGGUACAGCCCUGUUGUAAUCGAUUACAUUCGAAACUAGAGAGCACACCCCAACCCACCCACCUGUAGGCCUUAAACCAGCCACCAUUAAAAAUCGCGUCAAAGCACCAACCCGACAAAUCCCCAACAAAACCACCCACUCCUAACCCAAACUGAGCCAACCUAUACAAUAGAAGAACUACUGCUAAAACUAGUAAUAAGAAACAAUCUCUCGACACACUCUUAAGUCAGACACUAACUGCCAACAAUUAACAGACUCCAACAGAGCACAACAGCUAAAAAUUCAACCCCCUACCAAAUAAACUGUUUCGCCAACACAGGUGUGUCAAAAGAAAGAUUAAAAGCCAAAAAAGGAACUCGGCAACCUACGUCCCAACUGUUUACCAAAAACAUAGCCUUUAGCAGCCCCAGCAUUAAAGGUCCCGCCUGCCCAGUGACCUAGUUAAACGGCCGCGGUAUCCUAACCGCGCAAAGGUAGCGCAAUCACUUGUCUUCCAAAUAAAGACCCGUAUGAACGGCUAAAUGAGGACUCAACUGUCUCUUCUGGCCAAUCGAUGAACCUGAUCUUUCAGUACAAAAGCUGAAAUACAACCAUAAGACGAGAAGACCCUGUGGAGCUUAAGUUAAACUGUCAAUCCACCCCAUAUGACACCACACUUAAGUUGGGGCAACUUUGAAAAAACAAAACUUUCAAGACAUUAACCGACAACCAGGCUAACAAGCCUACCUGCCAACUAAAACGACCCAGUAAGACUGACCAACGAACCAAGUUACCCCAGGGAUAACAGCGCAAUCCUCUUCAAGAGUCCAUAUCGCCAAGAGGGCUUACGACCUCGAUGUUGGAUCAGGACACCCCAGUGGUGCAGCCGCCACUAACGGUUCGUUUGUUCAACGAUUAACAGUCCUACGUGAUCUGAGUUCAGACCGGAGAAAUCCAGGUCGGUUUCUAUCUAUGCACCGUUUUCCCUAGUACGAAAGGACAAGGAAAACAAGGCCCAUACCACUUUAGCACGCCUUCACAACACUUGCAAACAACUCAAUAACUAAAUUAACCCAGCCCAAGACAAGGGCACAUCC
rnacentral:rRNA from 1 species